GUCGAUAUCAGGCCGUUAUUUACUUCGUUCGGGACGAAGAGGCCGUGGGUUCGAGUCCCGUCACCUCGACCA
rnacentral:tRNA from 1 species